rnacentral:lncRNA from 10 species
CAAAGUGCUGGGAUUGCAGGCAUGAGCCACUGCACCUGGCUGAAUGUCUUGUUUUUGAUUAGGCACUUAAGAAAGGCCUAGGUACUAACCAUAAAAUAUAUUUUUAUACCUUUUGUUGAUACUAUAUAUAUAGAAAACUGCACUUAUCAUAACCUUAGACACCUUGAAGAAUGUUCACAAGCAGAACUAACCCAUGUGACCCAGCAUCCAGAUCAAAAACAGCAUUAUCAGCCCCUCUAGAAGCCCUCUUGGGCCCCUUCCAUUCACUGUCCUUCUUGUCACCAGGGUAGCUACUAUCCUGACUUUUGAUGGCAUAGAUUAGCAUUACCUGUUCUUGUCAUUUUAUAAAUAAAACCAUACUGUGUA